AGCGUACACGGUGGAUGCCCUGGCAGUCAGAGGCGAUGAAGGACGUGCUAAUCUGCGAAAAGCGUCGGUAAGGUGAUAUGAACCGUUAUAACCGGCGAUGUCCGAAUGGGGAAACCCAGUGCAAUUCGUUGCACUAUCGUUAACUGAAUACAUAGGUUAACGAGGCGAACCGGGGGAACUGAAACAUCUAAGUACCCCGAGGAAAAGAAAUCAACCGAGAUUCCCCCAGUAGCGGCGAGCGAACGGGGAGCAGCCCAGAGUCUGAAUCAGCUUGUGUGUUAGUGGAACGGUCUGGAAAGUCCGACGGUACAGGGUGAUAGUCCCGUACACCAAAAUGCACAGGUUGUGAACUCGAAGAGUAGGGCGGGACACGUGGUAUCCUGUCUGAAUAUGGGGGGACCAUCCUCCAAGGCUAAAUACUCCUGACUGACCGAUAGUGAACCAGUACCGUGAGGGAAAGGCGAAAAGAACCCCGGCGAGGGGAGUGAAAAAGAACCUGAAACCGUGUACGUACAAGCAGUGGGAGCACCUUCGGGUGUGACUGCGUACCUUUUGUAUAAUGGGUCAGCGACUUAUAUUCUGUAGCAAGGUUAACCGUAUAGGGGAGCCGCAGGGAAACCGAGUCUUAACUGGGCGUUAAGUUGCAGGGUAUAGACCCGAAACCCGGUGAUCUAGCCAUGGGCAGGUUGAAGGUUGGGUAACACUAACUGGAGGACCGAACCGACUAAUGUUGAAAAAUUAGCGGAUGACUUGUGGCUGGGGGUGAAAGGCCAAUCAAACCGGGAGAUAGCUGGUUCUCCCCGAAAGCUAUUUAGGUAGCGCCUCGUGAAUUCAUCUUCGGGGGUAGAGCACUGUUUCGGCUAGGGGGUCAUCCCGACUUACCAACCCGAUGCAAACUACGAAUACCGAAGAAUGUUAUCACGGGAGACACACGGCGGGUGCUAACGUCCGUCGUGAAGAGGGAAACAACCCAGACCGCCAGCUAAGGUCCCAAAGUCAUGGUUAAGUGGGAAACGAUGUGGGAAGGCACAGACAGCCAGGAUGUUGGCUUAGAAGCAGCCAUCAUUUAAAGAAAGCGUAAUAGCUCACUGGUCGAGUCGGCCUGCGCGGAAGAUGUAACGGGGCUAAACCAUGCACCGAAGCUGCGGCAGCGACACUAUGUGUUGUUGGGUAGGGGAGCGUUCUGUAAGCCUGCGAAGGUGUGCUGUGAGGCAUGCUGGAGGUAUCAGAAGUGCGAAUGCUGACAUAAGUAACGAUAAAGCGGGUGAAAAGCCCGCUCGCCGGAAGACCAAGGGUUCCUGUCCAACGUUAAUCGGGGCAGGGUGAGUCGACCCCUAAGGCGAGGCCGAAAGGCGUAGUCGAUGGGAAACAGGUUAAUAUUCCUGUACUUGGUGUUACUGCGAAGGGGGGACGGAGAAGGCUAUGUUAGCCGGGCGACGGUUGUCCCGGUUUAAGCAUGUAGGCUGGUUAUCCAGGCAAAUCCGGAUAAUCAAGGCUGAGGUGUGAUGACGAGGCACUACGGUGCUGAAGUAACAAAUGCCCUGCUUCCAGGAAAAGCCUCUAAGCAUCAGGUAACAUCAAAUCGUACCCCAAACCGACACAGGUGGUCAGGUAGAGAAUACCAAGGCGCUUGAGAGAACUCGGGUGAAGGAACUAGGCAAAAUGGUGCCGUAACUUCGGGAGAAGGCACGCUGGUGUGUAGGUGAAGCCCCUGCGGGUGGAGCUGAGACCAGUCGAAGAUACCAGCUGGCUGCAACUGUUUAUUAAAAACACAGCACUGUGCAAACACGAAAGUGGACGUAUACGGUGUGACGCCUGCCCGGUGCCGGAAGGUUAAUUGAUGGGGUUAUCCGUAAGGAGAAGCUCUUGAUCGAAGCCCCGGUAAACGGCGGCCGUAACUAUAACGGUCCUAAGGUAGCGAAAUUCCUUGUCGGGUAAGUUCCGACCUGCACGAAUGGCGUAAUGAUGGCCAGGCUGUCUCCACCCGAGACUCAGUGAAAUUGAACUCGCUGUGAAGAUGCAGUGUACCCGCGGCAAGACGGAAAGACCCCGUGAACCUUUACUAUAGCUUGACACUGAACAUUGAGCCUUGAUGUGUAGGAUAGGUGGGAGGCUUUGAAGCGUGGACGCCAGUCUGCGUGGAGCCAACCUUGAAAUACCACCCUUUAAUGUUUGAUGUUCUAACGUUGGCCCCUUACCGGGGUUGCGGACAGUGUCUGGUGGGUAGUUUGACUGGGGCGGUCUCCUCCCAAAGCGUAACGGAGGAGCACGAAGGUUAGCUAAUCCUGGUCGGACAUCAGGAGGUUAGUGCAAUGGCAUAAGCUAGCUUGACUGCGAGCGUGACGGCGCGAGCAGGUGCGAAAGCAGGUCAUAGUGAUCCGGUGGUUCUGAAUGGAAGGGCCAUCGCUCAACGGAUAAAAGGUACUCCGGGGAUAACAGGCUGAUACCGCCCAAGAGUUCAUAUCGACGGCGGUGUUUGGCACCUCGAUGUCGGCUCAUCACAUCCUGGGGCUGAAGUAGGUCCCAAGGGUAUGGCUGUUCGCCAUUUAAAGUGGUACGCGAGCUGGGUUUAGAACGUCGUGAGACAGUUCGGUCCCUAUCUGCCGUGGGCGCUGGAGAAUUGAGGGGGGCUGCUCCUAGUACGAGAGGACCGGAGUGGACGCAUCACUGGUGUUCGGGUUGUCAUGCCAAUGGCACUGCCCGGUAGCUAAAUGCGGAAGAGAUAAGUGCUGAAAGCAUCUAAGCACGAAACUUGCCCCGAGAUGAGUUCU
rnacentral:rRNA from 1 species